AUCUCCGUGCAAUUAUGCAGUAUGGCGUUCAUCUCUUACGGAAAGAGAAUGGUAACUUGUUGCUGCUUGGGACAAUAAAGUUAAGUCAGCAACCGUCUACCAGACUGCAAGAUUCAUCUCUUCCAAAGGAUGUCGUACCUUUCCAGAUACACUGUGUUUUGUGUGGAUAAGAAAUGCAGAGUGGUACCACCAAUCACCUAAGCCACCAUUCCCCUAACAGACAAUAGGCUCAUGGGGACAGUUCCUGCAAUUUAAAGAAAAGCUCUCAAUUGUAGCCCUACGAACUUCAGAUACUGCCGAUGGUGAAGCUUGGGUGCACCGGGCCGGUUUUCCAGCCGUGUGGAAUCAACAUCUCCAGCUGAACUGGGGCCGGGAAUUAUAUAAGACUCCUUAGCAGCAUGAGUGCCAGCCAGUCAUUGCUGUUCUUUGCAUUGCUGAGGAGGACAGUCCUGCCAACAUAACAGUUUGUUCAAUAACAGGAGACAAACAGAAACACAGAGGUGCUGUACAUUCUGAUGGAAAAAUAAAAGCAUCUGCCAUCAUUUUGGCGUGGCUCAGAUCAAGAGGAGAAUUUUAAGAA